AUUAAUGAGAGUUUGAUCCUGGCUCAGGACGAACGCUGGCGGCGUGCCUAAUACAUGCAAGUAGAACGCUGAAGAGAGGAGCUUGCUCUUCUUGGAUGAGUUGCGAACGGGUGAGUAACGCGUAGGUAACCUGCCUUGUAGCGGGGGAUAACUAUUGGAAACGAUAGCUAAUACCGCAUAACAAUGGAUGACACAUGUCAUUUAUUUGAAAGGGGCAAUUG
rnacentral:rRNA from 1 species